rnacentral:lncRNA from 1 species
GCCACCUGCUCAAUGACUGUGGCGUUGUAAAUGAGGUUCUUUUCGUCCUCAGAGACAUAAUUGUCCCACCAAUGUUUGAGCAUACCGGUGAAACCCGAGACAACCAUGGUGGCGGCUCCUUUGUCAGAGGAACCUUUGAUUUUGUAGGCUGUGAUGGCCACUGCAACCUCAUGGAGUUUAUUGUAGAUCUGAUGCUCAGCCAGACCAUCAAUAUUCCAUUCGGUUAUGCCUCGUCCAUCAUGAUUAGAUGUGGAGAGGUAAGGGUUCUCCUCAAACUGGACAUCAGGGGGAGAAGGUUUACGAUAGUAAUUUUUUCUAGUUGAAAAUCGAUCACUAGAAAGUUUAGAGAGAGAGUUCUUUUCCUUAGAACCGGAGGAAUCUUUAGAGCUAGAGGGCUCUUGAGAGAUUUUGAACUUGGUGAGUUUGGAGUUGAUUUUUUCCAAAAUUUGUUCUGACAAUUUAAAAUCGUCAUUCAGAUCUGGGAAUUUAUCUUUGCGAAACUCUGGGAGUUUGAAGAUAGGGUUGGAAAGAGGUUGAGAGCAUGGAGUGCUCUUGGUUGGUAAUGGGGCAGAAAGAGGAGGACUCUUAGCGUCCUCUAUCUGCUGAGAAAUGGUGUGAAGAACUUGAUUAGUAUAAUUGUUUUGUUCAAUUAUUCUAUCAAGAUCUUUACAUUGAGGUGUCAUUGAUCCUCGUUCAGAUUUAGUCUUAAAAGGAGAAGCUUUAAUGACUUCGUUGGAGUAGGAAAUAUUAAGUCCUUCCAGCGGAGGAGUUGUGGAUUCGACCACAGUGUUCCGCUGAGUAUACCAUUUGGUAACGAUAGCGUUGAGAGAGUCGGUUUGGUUUUAUAAUCUUCCCGUUUUUUCAAACCAGAAGAAGAAUUCCAUAUCGCAUCGGAGUCUUUUCAUGUCGGCUAUCCAUAGCCUUCCAAACUCCUUCUGUUCUUCCGGGGAGUAAGUACUUCCGUACCAUCUCCUUUUAAGAGUGUCUUUUGGAUGGUUCCAUCGGACCUUCAAGGCCUGUAGAUUUGGAACAUAUUCGUCAUUAUUAGAACGAAUAACGAAGAGGCUCGGGUCGGUUUGGACCCUUUGGGGUGGAGCCAUUUCGGAGGCCGAAGGGCUUCCCGGCUCGUAAAGGUUUUCAGGUUCUUUGACCUUAGUGUUUUGGUAAUAGACUUUAGGGAUCGGACCAGAGUAGUCAACUCCUCUAAUCGUUCCCUUGUCAUUGGUGCCUUCGUGAUCGUUAUGUUCACGUUCUAUCUUUGAAGAAGAGGCACAAGUGGAAACAGACCUUCGAGAGGAAGAGAGUCGAGAAGGGUCGACUCCUAGGAAUUUAAGAUCUAUGGAUCCAUCAGGAUGUUGAAUUACCCUUUCGAUUUGAGAUCGUUCGGAGUAACUCCGGACAGGUUGAGUGAUAGCCUCAAAGUGCCAAUCAUUACUAUGGAUGAUAUCGUCCAAAACUAGAGCCUUCGGAACAAAGACUGUGCUACGGUCUUUGUUUGCUUCCAUUAGGGUGGUGACCCCUUUAGGGCUCGUGAAUCUAGCUUUCGGAGCUAGGGUAGUACCCAUAAGUCGAUAAUAUACACGGUAUAUAAUCGCUAUUUCUCGUGUAUUAUCCUUACUGUUCAUGUUUUUAGUUUUAACAUUUAGUGUUAAAACAUCCAUGAUGUUAGGAUCAUUUAUAUCCACAGAGAAAUUUGGGUAGCAAUUAAAGUAAACCGGGCCGUCGGCGAGGUUACUUUGAAUUACUCCUAAGAGAGAAUCGUCAAAAUUCAGUAGACGAGCAUCUCUUAGAAGAGCACAGACAGGAAUAUCUAAUCCUUGUCGAAAAAGAGGCUUAAUAGCAACUUGUACUAAUCCAACAUGAAGAUAAUUAAACUGAUUUUUGAAUCUGUUUAUAUCUAAUUCGUUGAAUAGUUGGAUAAUUUCUAAAGAAUAAUUAAUAGCGACAGUAGACUCAGAGGUCUUGAUGUUAUGUUUUUUCAAAAAACUAAAUUUUCCUAUUUGGUAAAUAGUAUUGAAAGAUUCUUCUGGAAUACUCCAGUUUUGAAGAUCGUUUUCAAUAGUAGCAAUCGGAGUUGCUGAAGAAGAAACAUUAGAGGAGUUGACUACUCUGGUCCGAUCCCUAAAGUCUAUUACCAAAAUCUUUAGUCAAAAAUCUCCCCUGCUUAGGUAUUCCCAAUCCUAAUGCCUUUAUGAUUGUAGAAACCGAUGCUUCAGGAUUCCUCCGUAUCCUAUAUCUGAAGCAUCGGUUUCUACAAUCAUAAAGGCAUUAGGAUUGGGAAUACCUAAGCAGGGGAGAUUUUUGACUAAAGAUUUAAUCUUUAUUAUGGCUUUGGUUUGGUCUGAACUCCAAGGGACUGGGUUCUUUCGGAGACGCUUAUAGAGAGGUUCACAGACCUGUCUAAUAUUGGGGAUGAAAUCAGCUACAUAAUUGAGGCUUCCUAGAAACCUCUGGAGUUGAGUUUUAUCAGUGAUUUCAUCAGGAAACUUGGAAGAGAACUCUAUAGCUCUACAAAUGGGUUUUUGACUCCCUUGAUGCAGAUCAUGCCCUAGAAAGCGAAUAGAAGUUUGAAAAAGCUUCAUUUUUCUAGCACUUAUUACCAAGCCAUUUAGUUUAACAAUCUUAAAGAAAGUAUUGAGAUGCUUGAAAUGAGAAUCAAUGUUUUCAGAAAAGAUUAGUACAUCAUCAAUGUAGACGAUUGUCAUAUAAGAAUAAUCAUUAAAAAUGUUAUUCAUAAUAUUCUGAAAUUCAGAGGGGGCAUUUUUUAAUCCGAAUGGUAAGACAUUCCAUUCAUAGUGUCCAAAAGGAACAUUGAAGGCUGUCUUGUAUUUAUCUUUUUCAGCAAUCUGAAUUUGCCAGAAACCGGAUUUCAUAUCAAAUUUGCUAUAAAGAUUAGCUUUAUAGGUUCUUUUAAGAAGAUCCCUUUUGUUAGGAAUAGGGUGCCUGAUCCACUUUAGGACCGCAUUCAGGGGUUUAUAAUUUAUUACAAGUCUGGGAGUUCCUCGCUCCUUUUCAGCACUAUUAUUUACAUAAAAUGCUGAGCAACUCCAUGGGGAGUUAGAGGGUCUGAUUAUUCCCUUUUCGAGAAGAUGAUUGAUUUCUGUUUUACAGAUUUCCAUCAUUUCAUGAUUCAUUUGGAUUGGUCUGGCUUUAGUAGGGAUGUUUUGUUCAUCGAAGCCAGGGAUGUAAGGAAUUUCGACGAGAUGUUUUUUGCGUUCCCAAAAGGCGUUUGGCAAUUCGGAGCAAAUCUCGUCUUCGAACUUCUUUUGGAGAGUAGCUAUCUUACUAAUCAUCUCCGGGGUUUUUAAAGUUUGCUCAAUACGUUUGAUCUGGACAUCACCUUGCAGGUAGUGAAGGUGAGAAGAAAGACGAUGAAGUUUAAAAAUGGUUUCGUCUUUAAUGCGCUGCUGUUCGUUAGAAGAGAGCGGACGGAGUAAAGGGAAAAAUAACUCAGUAUCCAACAAAGUGGUACGAAUACCAUCGUAGUUACUUUGGUAAGGUCGGAUCUAGUUGAUAAAAGGAAUUUCGAGAAUGAUAUCUUCGGUGAUAUCUUCAGUUAUGACAAAGUCAUUAAUAAGGCAAACGCCAUUAUUACAGACGUGGGCUUUGCGAAGUUGAUAAUCAAUUCGCAUUUUUUCGCCUGUGGCAGAAUAUAGUCGUGAGGUACUCUUUUGGAGGUACCGAGUGGGUAUGAGGCCUUUGACAAUGCAGUUACUGUCGGCACCGGUGUCAAAAAGGGCGACUUUGUUUAUAACAAAGUCUUUAUCGAUGACGAUGUUUACGACGAUGUGCUCACUGUAGGCCUUGAUGGCUGCUACUGUGGUAGAGGUGGAAGGAGUUGCAGAAACUUCUUCUCCGGGAAAAGAGGUGGGUUCUUGGAGAUGAUCAGUCGGGAUGCUGAUCUGUGGUGGUGAGGGCGUAAGAAGAGGAGCCUUUGGUGAAGCUGAUUGUAAGACUUGUUCUGUUAGAACAUGUAAUUCUAUCUGAUCAAGUCGGGUCUUAAGGUUUUUGAUUUCUCCUUUCAAAAGGGAGAUUUCACCCUUAAGUUCUGCUACAGAGGGUUCAGAAGGAGAAUUAAAUUUAGCCAUAACCUUUUUCAUAGAGAAAGGCUAGAUAAUAGGUUUUGGUUUUGAAGUACCUUCAUCUUGAGAAAGCAUCAUUCGCUUGAGCUCUUGAAGGUAUGUAUUUCGCAGUUCCUCGUUGUCAAUAUGUUCGAUAAUAUCGAACAAGACUUCUUUGGAUUUGUCAGUUCCAUUGCACUCGCAGUCUUGUCCGGAUUGAGAGCUGUCAGACUCAUAAGCGGCGUUGAUGAAAUCUUCGUCGCUAUAUUCAUCUUCUGAAGAAGAAUAAGAGUCAGAUGCGUCAGAGGGGUCUUCCAUGAUAGAGAAGAGUUUUUCUUUGGUGUCAUCAGGUAGAUCGAGGAGAUUGAUCUUUUCCUUUUUACCUGAUGUACAAUCCUUUGCCCUAUGGCCUGUUUUACCGCAAGUCCAGCAGGUAUCUUUGGAUUUGGUAAAAGAUUUACGCCUGGUUUUACAGCGAGGUUUAUUCGAUUCCUUAUAAGCACCGGAUUCCCUAUAGGAAGUCUUUCUUUUCGGGUAAGACCUUUUGUGACGUUUUGGGGGCAUCCGUUUAUGCCGCCUACUGUCUUGGAGGUCUGUAAAGCCGUAAUCUUGGCAGAAAGUUGUCAGACCAUAUUUGUGAUUCUGCUUAAGUUGUUGUUUAAGCUUAAGGUCUGUACAGAGUUCUAUACCCGUUGUGGUGAUGAAACUUACUAAGUCUCCAUAGGUGAGAACGUUGUAAGGAAUUUGACCUUCGAAUCUAUCCUUAAGCUUUGUCCGGACUUUGUCUGCAAAUAAUGGGGGAAGACCACUAAUGAAUCUUUCUUUCCAAAAGUCAUUAUUGCAAUCAGGACGGAUCAUAACUUUGAUCAGGAAGGUAUCCUUAUACCAUCUGAAGUCUGCUAGAUUUUUGCAGCGAAGAUUAUUAAGGAUUUCCAGACUUCUAUCUUGGAAGAGUUUUGGUUCUCCUACAAAAUGUCUAGCUAUGUGGUAUAGGAGAGUUGCACAAGCAUCUUCUUGUGCUUCUUGGACUAUGGUUUCUCGACCAUCUACUGUUCUAGCCACUUGCUCAAUGACUGUGGCGUUGUAAAUGAGGUUCUUUUCGUCCUCAGAGACAUAAUUGUCCCACCAAUGUUUGAGCAUACCGGUGAAACCCGAGACAACCAUGGUGGCGGCUCCUUUGUCAGAGAAACCUUUGAUUUUGUAGGCUGUGAUGGCCACGGCAAUCUCAUGGAGUUUAUUGUAGAUCUGAUGCUCAGCCAGACCAUCAAUAUUCCAUUCGGUUAUGCCUCGUCCAUCAUGAUUAGAUGUGGAGAGGUAAGGAUUCUCCUCAAACUGGACGUCAGGGGGAGAAGGUUUACGAUAAUAAUUUUUUCUAGUUGAAAAUCUAUCACUAGAAAGUUUAGAGAGAGAGUUCUUUUCCUUAGAACCGGAGGAUUCUUUAGAGCUAGAGGGCUCUUGAGAGAUUUUGAACUUGGUGAGUUUGGAAUUGAUUUUUUCCAAAAUUUG